rnacentral:lncRNA from 1 species
UGAACAUGGUGGUAAAAGGCCAUCUGCGGCGGCUGCACGACGACACGCCACCCGCGCAGGGCAAACAUGUGCGCCAGCAGGGCCGUGCAUGCGAUCUGGCGUGCCGUGUGCGGGUGACAGGCAGCGCGCGCCGUGUCGCCCAUGGGCAAGUCGAGGUCGACCAGGGGCAUCCGACGCGCGGCGCCGGCCGCGUCCGUCUCGGAUGGGUCCGUCGCCACGGGGCGCGUCACAUGCCAACGGUCGGUGACGGCAUCGAUCCACGCAUUGGCAGUCGCUGCAGCCGUCGCCUGUUUGUCGGCGCCCAUGGUCAAAAGAGACGGCACAUGGGGUGCCGCAUCACCGGCAGAGGCCUCGUGCGCCAGCACGACGAGGCGCUCGGCGGUCCGCCCGCCCGACGCGUACAAGAGAUCAUGGGCCAGAUGCUCGCGGUAAUGUGGCGCGCGUGGAUCCCGUGCGGGUGUGGCACGAGCCUUGCCGUGCUCGUCGUGCCACAGCCAAAAGUCGCAGCCGCCCGUCUGGUUGCGUUGCGGGCACGCAUAAUAGCGCCGCCCGGCAUUGGCCCCGCUCCGGGUCACAGCGGUCUUGGGCUCUCGGGUCCCGCCGUUGCACUUGCAAAAGAUGCCCUCGAUGGCCGUCUCGUGGCCCGGUCGCGCUUGCGUGUCGCCGCGCGCAUAGGAUGAUGACGAGGACGAUGACGAAUACAAAGAAGACGACGGAGGCACAUAGGGCGUGAUCACCGGUGGCGGGAGGCUAGACUUGGCGGCGGCGCCGCCAGUAAAGAGGGCGGGUGGGCGCUGUGCCGUCGGCGGUUGCUGCGAGGCCGACAUGGGGUUUGGUACCAACGACUGGUGGUGACCACGCGAAGGGCCUCCACGUUGGUACGAAUCGUCGGGCUCGUCCGAGCCGGCCAUCGGCGGGCGCACGCGCGGCACCGUCGAUACGCCAAAGAGACACGGAGGCGGCAGAGGCUGUGCCGGCCGCGGUGUCGCGGGCGGGACCACCGUCCUCGCCGUGGUCGACACAGACGAUGCCAUUGUCGGUGGCCGAUGCCCCGUCGAGGGUGGCGCGGUGGUGCGCGCAGGUGUUGCGGUCGCGUGGUGAAGCGUCGGGGUCGAUCUUGGCACGAUCACCGGUGCGUGUUGUGAUUGUUGUUGCGCACGCGACGUGAUCAAAGGCGCGGACUGCGCGGUGCCGCGCGCGACGAUCGACGAGGUCUCUUGCGCCGCGGCGAGCCAAAAGGCGGCAUCAUCGUCAUGGGCAGAGGUGGGCGUGGACGUCACAGGACCGUCAACGCGCUGGCGCUUGGGUUCGGGCAGAGGCGCCGUUGUCGGCCGCUGGUGCGGUUGAUGCGGUUGCAUGAUGGACCUCUGGGGUUUUGUGGUUUCUUGGGUGUGAGUUUGGUCUUGAUGUGGCCGUUGGUGUGCAAACUGUAAACUCUAGGUGUGCAGAUAUGCCCACGAAGGAAAAGACAAACAGGCACACCAAGGGUCUUGUGGGUCUAUGGCGUCCCCUUGGCUUGGCUCUUG